rnacentral:rRNA from 1 species
AAAGAGCUCGUAGGUGGUUUGUCGCGUUGUUCGUGAAAUCUCACGGCUUAACUGUGAGCGUGCGGGCGAUACGGGCAGACUAGAGUACUGCAGGGGAGACUGGAAUUCCUGGUGUAGCGGUGGAAUGCGCAGAUAUCAGGAGGAACACCGGUGGCGAAGGCGGGUCUCUGGGCAGUAACUGACGCUGAGGAGCGAAAGCGUGGGGAGCGAACAGGAUUAGAUACCCUGGUAGUCCACGCCGUAAACGGUGGGUACUAGGUGUGGGUUUCCUUCCUUGGGAUCCGUGCCGUAGCUAACGCAUUAAGUACCCCGCCUGGGGAGUACGGCCGCAAGGCUAAAACUCAAUGGAAUUGACGGGGGCCCGCACAAGCGGCGGAGCAUGUGGAUUAAUUCGAUGCAACGCGAAGAACCUUACCUGGGUUUGACAUGCACAGGACGCCGGUAGAGAUAUCGGUUCCCUUGUGGCCUGUGUGCAGGUGGUGCAUGGCUGUCGUCAGCUCGUGUCGUGAGAUGUUGGGUUAAGUCCCGCAACGAGCGCAACCCUUGUCUCAUGUUGCCAGCGCGUUAUGGCGGGGACUCGUGAGAGACUGCCGGGGUCAACUCGGAGGAAGGUGGGGAUGACGUCAAGUCAUCAUGCCCCUUAUGUCCAGGGCUUCACACAUGCUACAAUGGCCGGUACAAAGGGCUGCGAUGCCGUGAGGCUUAGCGAAUCCUUGAAAGCCGGUCUCAGUUCGGAUCGGGGUCUGCAACUCGACCCCGUGAAGUCGGAGUCGCUAGUA